rnacentral:rRNA from 1 species
CCUACGGGAGGCAGCAGUGGGGAAUAUUGCACAAUGGGGGAAACCCUGAUGCAGCGACGCCGCGUGAGUGAAGAAGUACUUCGUUAUGUAAAGCUCUAUCAGCAGGGAAGAAAAUGACGGUAACUGAGUAAGAAGCCCCGGCUAACUACGUGCCAGCAGCCGCGGUAAUACGUAGGGGGCAAGCGUUAUCCGGAUUUACUGGGUGGAAAGGGAGCGUAGACGGCUGUGCAAGGCUGGAGGGAAAGGCGGGGGCUCAACCCCCGGACUGCUCUGGAAACUGUACGGCUGGAGUGCAGGAGAGGUAAGUGGAAUUCCUAGUGAAGCGGUGAAAUGCGUAGAGAUGAGGAGGAACACCAGUGGCGAAGGCGGCUUACUGGACAGUAACUGACGUUGAGGCGCGAAAGCGUGGGGAGCAAACAGGAUUAGAUACCCUUGUAGUC